rnacentral:lncRNA from 1 species
CUCUCACACAAAAUGUUGAAAGCUGUUAACCGAAACACAUACGAAAGAAAAUGCUCUCCACUGUCAUACCUUUGAAUCCUGGCUGAGGAAGAGCAAGACCUGGAGUCAUCUCAACUAAUGAUACUCUGUGACUGACUCAUCAAAAAGAGCUUUGCACAUCUGACAUGUUCCGAAGUGAUUGAAACUGCACCUUAACAGAGGAGAGAUCGGAGGCGUUACAGCCACACGGAGAAGCUGCAUACUUUCAUGAGGGCUUGAAGGGAGAUGUGGUUAUUCUGCAAUGCUUUUCUGUCUGGUUGAGAAGACUGGUGUUUUAUCUCAACAUGAUGAUCUUGAGUUUGUUUGCUUUUUCUGCUACUAUUAACAUAAGGUAAAUAUACUGUUCAUUUAAAAAUAUACUGUUCAAAAAU